UGCUGUGAACUCGAAGAGUAGGGCGGGACACGUGGUAUCCUGUCUGAAUAUGGGGGGACCAUCCUCCAAGGCUAAAUACUCCUGACUGACCGAUAGUGAACCAGUACCGUGAGGGAAAGGCGAAAAGAACCCCGGCGAGGGGAGUGAAAAAGAACCUGAAACCGUGUACGUACAAGCAGUGGGAGCCUCUUUAUGGGGUGACUGCGUACCUUUUGUAUAAUGGGUCAGCGACUUAUAUUCUGUAGCAAGGUUAACCGUAUAGGGGAGCCGAAGGGAAACCGAGUCUUAACUGGGCGUUAAGUUGCAGGGUAUAGACCCGAAACCCGGUGAUCUAGCCAUGGGCAGGUUGAAGGUUGGGUAACACUAACUGGAGGACCGAACCGACUAAUGUUGAAAAAUUAGCGGAUGACCUGUGGCUGGGGGUGAAAGGCCAAUCAAACCGGGAGAUAGCUGGUUCUCCCCGAAAGCUAUUUAGGUAGCGCCUCGUGAACUCAUCUUCGGGGGUAGAGCACUGUUUCGGCUAGGGGGCCAUCCCGGCUUACCAACCCGAUGCAAACUACGAAUACCGAAGAAUGUUAUCACGGGAGACACACGGCGGGUGCUAACGUCCGUCGUGAAGAGGGAAACAACCCAGACCGCCAGCUAAGGUCCCAAAGUCAUGGUUAAGUGGGAAACGAUGUGGGAAGGCACAGACAGCCAGGAUGUUGGCUUAGAAGCAGCCAUCAUUUAAAGAAAGCGUAAUAGCUCACUGGUCGAGUCGGCCUGCGCGGAAGAUGUAACGGGGCUAAACCAUGCACCGAAGCUGCGGCAGCGACGCUUAGGCGUUGUUGGGUAGGGGAGCGUUCUGUAAGCCGUUGAAGGUGUCCUGUGAGGGGUGCUGGAGGUAUCAGAAGUGCGAAUGCUGACAUAAGUAACGAUAAAGCGGGUGAAAAGCCCGCUCGCCGGAAGACCAAGGGUUCCUGUCCAACGUUAAUCGGGGCAGGGUGAGUCGACCCCUAAGGCGAGGCCGAAAGGCGUAGUCGAUGGGAAACAGGUUAAUAUUCCUGUACUUGGUGUUACUGCGAAGGGGGGACGGAGAAGGCUAUGUCAGCCGGGCGACGGUUGUCCCGGUUUAAGCAUGUAGGCGGAGGUUCCAGGUAAAUCCGGUACCUU
rnacentral:rRNA from 1 species